UCUCUCUCUCUCUCUUAUUUAUUUUUUAUUAGUUUAUCUCUGUUAUUAUUAUUUUGCAAGCAAAAACAAUUAUUGGUGAGGGAAAUAAAUUUUUUGAAAAGCAGUAAUAAAUAUACCUUCUGUAUAAUGUUUAGAAGCAAAAGAACAAAAAAGUUGACACAGGUCUAUUCUUAAUUGCUAUAUCUGUUUUUUAAAAUCACUGCCUUUGCUACCAGUACAAUUGCUACCCCCUGCAUAAUGUUUAAUGUUAGUCAAUUGCUUUAUUGGUGGGUCAUUGUAUUCGUUUGACAUUGAGUCUAUUACAGUCGUUCAUGAAAUUGCUUAAAAUCACCUUCAUCAAUCGCUGCAACAUGUAAAUUCGUGUGUCAAUUGGUUGUUUAGUGUGGGAUUGUUUAGGUUGUUAUUUGUUUGUCUGCUUUCAGGAAGUUGGCAGUUUUGUCUG
rnacentral:misc_RNA from 1 species